UUAGAAGACCCAGUGUUCUUGUCCAUCCUGCUUCCUUUGUUUGGUGUGCCGGUUGCACCAUCCAACGGAGAAUUCUGAGCAAUUGAUGAUCCCCCUGGUAUGAUAGUGUCGCUGUAUCCUCUUAUCCUCAGCUUAUAGAUUCCGGACAUAGAAUUAGCAUUUUCCUGCAACGACUUCAUCUUCAAACCGUUCCGUUGUUUUACAGAAACAGCUAAUCUUUUGGCGUAUGCUGGGAUCUCCUGUCUCUGGGAUUUACCAGUUGUACGCCUCUUGAAAUUCACAGGUAGCUUACUCGAGCGUAGUGGUUUCUUCCUUAUCUGCACCUGUACAGUUGUAGUCAAUUCUGGUAUUUUUUCUGAUGCUACUACUGUUCUACUCAGCAGGGAAGUCCUUGCUAUUGUUGUUUGAUCAUCACGUUCAGCACCUUUGCAAGCGUCAUGGCAAGAACCUUUUGGAUCGCUCAGGUAACGUGACAAGACCUUGGAUUUAGCAAUUUGAAAGCCAAAGCUGCCAGUUGAGUUCCUUCUCAAAAAGCGAGCAUCACGCUCAAUUCUCUCCAGAUGUGCAGGUAUGCCAACAACCAUCUCAGCCAUUUUGAGUUUGAGCAAUGAAACUAGUACCACUGCAGAACUUAUCAGAAGCAG
rnacentral:lncRNA from 1 species